GCGGUAGCAUAGAGCGGCACGGGCCUUACUAGUCUCUGCGCCCCCUAGAGGAUGGGGUCUGGAAAUGGGGCUGAGCUGAAUAAGAAAACAUGAAAAAUUGCCGUAUUUUAUGCAUUUUAAAGACAUAUGAACAAGAAUGUAUAUUUAUGGCUGAUGCUACACUUAAAGGAGGCAUUUACCACAGCUGUGACAUCUUUCUGCAAUGAGGAGGAAGUUGGGAACAGACUUGUACCACUCUGAAGGAUGUGCCAGACUGUCUGGACUCUCAUAGUCUCUCUCUACCCUGCCCCACCUCCCCCUCAUCUAGCUGCUGGAGAGGAAUUUGAAAAAGAUUGUAGUGCCUGAGGAAGUCUGUUCUAUGAUACUUGGAUUGCUGAGGAUUCAGAUGUGGAAUGCCAGAUGUGGAAUGCCAGUUCAGAGAGGACAGUGAUGAUGAUCAACUGAGAUGAGUUAAAUCCACUAGGUUCAGCAAACAAGUUCGUUCUCUCUCUCUCUCUCUCUCUCUCUCUCUCUCUCUCUCUCUCUCUCACACACACACACACACACACACACACACACACAGAGCUAGAGGAAGAAGUCUGCUUCAGGAACAAAUCUGUAUGCUGGGAAGUAUAUAAUAUCCUAUCAUUAGCUGAGUUCACUCAUCUUUGGUGCCUCCUCGUCAACUUCUCAAAAACUGAGUCAACUUUUCUAUUAACAAAGAGGGUAUGUGUUUAUAUGGAAGCCCAAAAUGACUCCUCAAACAGCAAUACACAAUAGCUUCCAAAUUAAUAUUGAGAAAGGUACUGUGGCAGAAUGGACAGAUUGAAGGGUUUGAAUCAGGGAAAACUGGUUCAAAUCCCUACUCAGUCACAAUGAUUACUGGAUAUUAUGUGCCAUAAACUAAUCCCACAGGAUUGCUGUGGGAGUUAUGCCAUCUAUCCACAUAAAUUUCUUGGGGGGAAAGGCAGGAUACAAAUAUUUUAUCUCAAUUAGUUUCCCUAGAUGAUAAAUUCCAAGUGCCCUAUCAAAGAAAAUUAUUCUGGAGGUAAUCCUCACUUAGGCCACCUUAAGUGACACAGCAGGGAAAUUAUUGACUAACAAGCAGAAGGUUGCCAGUUCGAAUCCCUGCUGGUAUGUUUCCCAGACUAUGGGAAACACCUAUAUCAGGCAGCAGCAAUAUAGGAAGAUGCUGAAAGGCAUCAUCUCAUACUGCACGGGAGGAGGAGAGUUAGCCUGGUUCUCCCAUUUUACAAACCAUAUUUUAAAACUAGAAUCUACAUUCAGCAUCUUUGAACUUAGCUAAUGUUCUAUACCUUAUUAUCUGUCACCAUCCAUUGACCAUCAGUAUUCUGCUUGAAAACACAGUGGUUCCGAGAUAUCAUCAAUGGGCAAGAUUUUGACAUCAGUUGGUAGGUGACACCAGCUCCACGGCCUAUAGUUACCUGAAAGACAGGGAAAAAAUAUUGUCAACUACUCCCCCUUACCAACAAAUCACUGGUCCUGAGUUUAAAAGCUGCAGAGGAGGCACUCUGCAUUUGUUUCCUACUGGAGAUCAAAUAAACCA